rnacentral:rRNA from 1 species
CCUACGGGAGACAGCAGUAGGGAAUCUUGCUCAAUGGGGGAAACCCUGAAGCAGCAACGCCGCGUGGAGGAUGAAGGUCUUAGGAUUGUAAAACUCUUUUGUGAGAGAAGAUAAUAACGGUAUCUCACUAUUAACCACUGGCCAACUCCGUACCAGCAGCCGCGGUAAUACGGAGGGCGCAAGCGUUACUCGGUAGCAUGGGGCGUAAAGGGUGCGGAGGCGGGUUUGUAAGUAAGAUGUGAAAUCCUUUGGCUUAACUGGAGAAGUGCAUUGGAAACUGUGAGGCUAGAGUGUAGAAGAGGUAGGUGGAAUUCUAUGUGUAGGGGUAAAAUCCGUAGAUAUAUAGAGGAAUACUCAUUGCGAAGGCGACCUUCUGGAACGUUACUGACGCUCAUGUGCGAAAGCGUGGGGAGCAAACAGGAUUAGAUACCCGUGUAGUC